rnacentral:misc_RNA from 1 species
AACGCAAGUUGCGCCCGAAGCCAUUAGGCCGAGGGCACGCCUGCCUGGGCGUCACACGCCGUUGCCCCCCCGCGCCUCCCUCGGGAGCGUCGGGGGGCGGACGAUGGCCUCCCGUGCGUCACCCCGCGCGGUUGGCAUAAAUACCGAGUCCUCGGCGACGAACGCCACGACAAUCGGUGGUUGUCAAACCUCGGUUGCCUGUUGUGCGCCUUCGUCGCGCUCCGAGCGGCUCGCGAUGCUCGCUGCUCUUUGCUUCGGCGGAGCUUUCAACGCGACCCCAGGUCAGGCGGGGUUACCCGCUGAAUUUAA